rnacentral:rRNA from 1 species
CCUACGGGCGGCUGCAGUGGGGAAUCUUGCGCAAUGGGCGAAAGCCUGACGCAGCGACGCCGCGUGAGUGAUGAAGGCCUUCGGGUUGUAAAGCUCUGUGGAGGGAGACGAAUAAGGCAUGGCUAACAUCCAUGUUGAUGACGGUAUCCCUUUAGCAAGCACCGGCUAACUCUGUGCCAGCAGCCGCGGUAAGACAGAGGGUGCGAACGUUGUUCGGAAUUACUGGGCGUAAAGCGCGUGUAGGCGGCUUGGCAAGUCGGGUGUGAAAGCCCUGG